CCCCCGCCCGGCCCCGCGCGCCAGCACGCGCCGGAAUUUCCAAAGCCUGUGACUGGGCUCCGCGGGCCGCGGGGGCGGCGGAGGGCGCGCGGGCGCUGGGGCCGCCUCCGGCGGCUGGACCCGCGACCGCUCUGCUAUGCUCCCUGUCCCCGCGCUGGAGCACAGCGACCCAACUCCUUGCGAGCGUUUCCUGCGCACCUACUACGUGCAAGGCGCUGGCAGUCCAGGAGGAAUAGGCCUUCGUCCCUGUCCCCGGAAAUGGGCCUGGAACGAGAAGGCUGGAGCUGAAGAUGGAUUGGCUAGAAGGCAACAGCCGACGUACAGGGCAAACGCGUUAGAGGCCAGGUGCUAAGGAGGUUGUUAAAUCUGCCCGCGGGUAUGAAGGAAGGCUUCUAAGGGAGGUCGCCACGGGUGACCUUUCAGCUGUAUCAGAAGGAGCUGAUAUAACCGGAGGAGGUGAGGAGGAGGGUGUUCCUGCGGCGGGAACAGUGUGAGCAACGACGAGGAGGAGAGCACCUGACUUGUUGCAGGAACUGGGACUAGGCCACUUUGACUGAAGCGCAGAAUUUGGGAAGGGAGGUACUGUGAGAUGCAGUGGGCAACAAAGAUUGGUGCCUUCUAGGGCCCACGUGGAUGAAAAGCAAACUUAUUUUAUUAAUCAUGGCUUCUUGAGUCCGCGGAGCCUUUCCAGUGUUUAUGUGAAAUUUAUAUCCAUCUGCUGGGUGUUUUCUACUCUGGAGAGCUUAAGGACAUCUCAGCCCAGUGACUUUUCUUCUAUGAGCCUGCUUUCAGACAGUCCGUAAAAGUUUUAAAGAAGACAAGUCCCCCAGAGGUAAUCCUUGAGGGCUCCACUCUGAAACAGGAAGACUCCAUCUGGUAUCCUGGCACCAACAGUAGUCAGUAGACUGGGUACUGGCCCCAGUUCUGACACAGUAGUUGUUAGAUUCCAGGCAAUUGCUGACAUGAUACCUGUGGUGGACAUUGAGAUGCAUUGGCCAGAUGCCCUUCAAGGAAGGACUUGUUGCCCAGCCGUGGGGAGAGUGCUCAGCACACAGCUGUCAGCUGUCAUUUCCUUCGGGGUUUGCCUCAUCUGCAGACAGCCACCUUGCCCGAGGAGAGGCUCCUUUCCUGGGCGGCCCAAAUUCAAUGGCUGAGCAAGGCAAGGAUAGAAAGGCCUGGCUAUUUCAGCCCUGUGAAGGACAACUUCAAUGGACUAUUUCUGCUCAAGAGCUCCCAGUGGGGUUAGCUGAGGCCUUAUCAGCCUGCAUCUCAGAUCAGAUUCUCCCUCUGCCCAAUCCUGUUUUCUUUCCCUCCCACCCAUGGGUAUUGAUCCCAAGAGCUCUCCCUAAUAAUUAUCCUGAACACUAAAGUCUGUCACAGAAUCUGCUUCCUGGAAAACUCAAACUGCCACAGUUGGAGCCAGGAGAGUUCUGAGAAAGCAGGUGAUAAGAUGGGGUUUUGGAGCUGAUCACUCACCACCCAGCUGGUAGAAGGACCUUGUCACAGUCAUAGAUGGAGCACAGAUAGUCCUUGGCACAAGGUGGUGGUCCAGUUAUUAAAACUUUCACCAGUGGUGAAUUGGGACGGUAUACUCGUGAAAGAGAAUGUAUUAGCUGGUGCAACAUAUGGAGGAAGUAGUAACUAUAAGGACAAUGGGAUAGGAUGGUUAGUGCUUAGCUCUUCUGAAGCUCUAGGAAAAGAAAACAGAAAGCUGAGAAAGUGACUAGCAGGCAACUGAAAGCAAAGUGUGAACACCAGAGGGUCUCUUUGGUGGCAUGUGAAGAGGCUUCCAUAACCUGCAGCGGGAGGGCCGAGAAAGCUGAGGACCAGACCGAACUAUGCAGCCAAGCUCCAAAGAAGGCUGGACUGAUGGUAGGAGAUGCUGCUAUAAAACUGAGCUCUUUAUUAGCGAUGGAGAUAAUACAAUCCCAAAAUAAUUGAGCCAUAUGGCAUCACGCAACACUCAGAAACCAUGUGGACACAAUUAUGAUCAUGAGUGGCAAGAUCAAAGUGGCAAUCAGGGGCACCUGACCUGCAGAGCGGUGUUGACCCCAAAGGCACUUCCUAAUAAACAUCCUGGACACUAAACUCUGACUCAGAGUCUUCUUCCUGCAGAGCCUAAACUGUGAAAAUGCCCCAUCA
rnacentral:lncRNA from 1 species